CUCUCUUUGUUCAGCAAAUGUUUUUGGUGGGAGGGCUUGCCAUCUUCAGGCUUACAAUGCAAUGGAUUUUUAAAAUGUGGAACAGAAAGUUCAAACAACAAGAUUAGAAAUGAAAAAGAUAGAAGAAGCGAUUGCCAGAAAUCUGGCACUUAUACAAUUCUCGCCAAGAUCACCAACAAUCAGCAACCUAUAGCUUACAUAAGUGUUACUACGAGAAUGCUACAAAAGAGGAUCAAGGAUCACAAAAAAAGACGUAACUAAUGAAAGAGUUACCACUGCCCUGACUAUGGAAGCCUUUUCUAAUGAUUUGCAAGUGGACUGGAAUGAUGCAAAAAUUAUAAAGCCUAUACCUAUAAAGUCCCAAGCUUAUUUAACAGAGUCCCUAGAAAUCCUAAAGGCUAAACAUAAAGGACAGCUGCUUAAUGACAAACCAACUAUGGAGCUUCUCUCAUCAUGGACAUACCUGUUAAAUAAGUGGAAAGAAGGAUAGUGAAAAAGAAAGGCCACCAUUGGAAACACCUAAGAAACCUAGAUUUUACAGUUUUGCAUACUAACUUUUUAUGUUAUUUUCUAAUCAUAUUUGUUGCCUUUUGUUUUAUUUUUACUUUUAUGUUUUUAUUAUAUUUUUAUUAAUGUACCCAUUAUGUAUGUUAAUUUUUUAUACUUUGUCCGGACCAUGGUCCGCAUUCAAAAUUUACACUUGUAAAAUAUUUUCUUUUGUAUCAUUUACAAUGAUUUAACCACAACAAUGUAACCUAGGUAAUAACAUUUUUUUAUUUUUUGAACUUCCUGUUCCA
rnacentral:lncRNA from 1 species